UCGGCCUCAGAUUGGUAGGACUACCCGCUGAACUUAAGCAUAUCAAUAAGCGGAGGAAAAGAAACUAACAAGGAUUCCCCUAGUAACGGCGAGUGAAGAGGGAAGAGCCCAAGAUUGAAAGCUGGCGUCUUUGGCGUCCGCAUUGUAAUCUCAAGAAGUGUUUUCCGCUUCGGACCAUGCCUAAGUCCCUUGGAAAAGGGCAUCAUAGAGGGUGAUAAUCCCGUACAUGGCAUGGAGCGCCCGAAGCUUUGUGAUACACUUUCUAAGAGUCGAGUUGUUUGGGAAUGCAGCUCAAAAUGGGUGGUAAAUGCCAUCUAAGGCUAAAUAUUGGGGAGAGACCGAUAGCGAACAAGUACAGUGAUGGAAAGAUGAAAAGAACUUUGAAAAGAGAGUUAAACAGUACGUGAAAUUGCCAAAAGGGAAGGGUAGGAGGUCAGAGAUGCGGUCUGGGAUUCAGCCUUGCUUUUUGCUGGGUGUUUUUCUCAGAUUGCAGGCCAACGUCGGUUUUGGGCGCUGGAGAAGGGUGGAAGGAAUGUGGCACCUCUCGGGGUGUGUUAUAGCCUUCUACUGGAUACAGUGACCGAGACCGAGGACAGCAGCGUACUCGCAAGAGCGGGCCUUCGGGCACCUUUACGCUUAGGGCGUUGGCAUAAUGGCCCUCUACCACCCGUCUUGAAACACGGACCAAGGAGUCUAACAUGUAUGCGAGUCUUUGGGUGGCAAACCCAUAGGCGCAAUGAAAGUGAAUUCAGGUGGGAUCCGCAAGGUGCACCAUCGACCGAUCCUCACGUCUUUUUUAAGUCGUGGAUUUGAGUAAGAGCAUACCUGUUGGGACCCGAAAGAUGGUGAACUAUGCCUGAAUAGGGUGAAGCCAGAGGAAACUCUGGUGGAGGCUCGUAGCGGUUCUGACGUGCAAAUCGAUCGUCAAAUUUGGGUAUAGGGGCGAAAGACUAAUCGAACCAUCUAGUAGCUGGUUCCUGCC
rnacentral:rRNA from 1 species